rnacentral:misc_RNA from 1 species
GGGACAGAGCUCAUACUACCUAUAUUUCAGAGGAAAAGUAUAGAACAAUGCUGGGAGAACACGUUCAAAAGUAUAAGAGGAGGCUUGGUAAUUCCUCAGCAAGCCCUGCAGCUAUUCGUAAUGGAGUACCUGUGAUGAGAGGUGGUGGAGGUUCAAGAGACCAGAAGUCAGCAAAUGAUCAUAGAGGAGGAGCGGUCAGACUUGCCUCUACAUCAGAAUUUUUUAACAAUAGCACUCAGAGCUUAGGAAACCAUAUUCAGUCAGAUUUUCUAGGACCAUAUGGUGGUGAUAGAUCUAUUUAUGAACCUGCUUUCUUGGAUCUUGGGGAGGACAUCACAUACAAGAUCCCUCCACCUUAUGAAAAGCUGGC